rnacentral:rRNA from 1 species
GACGAACGCUGGCGGCGUGCCUAAUACAUGCAAGUAGAACGAGUUGCGAACGGGUGAGUACCGCGUAGGAACCUGCCUCAUCGCGGGGGAUAAAUAUUGGAAACGAUAGCUAAUACCGAAUACUGUGAGAUGGAACUGUGUUGUAUUAGCUAGGUGGUGGGGUAAAGGCCUACCAAGGCGAAGAUCCGUAACUGGUCUGAGAGGAUGAGCAGUCACACUGGAACUGAGACACUGUCCAUACUCCUACGGGAGGCAGCAGUGGGGAAUAUUUGACAAUGGGCGAAAGCCUGAUCCAGCCAUGCCGCGUGUGUGAAGAAGGUCUUCGGAUUGUAAAGCACUUUAAGUAGGGAGGCGUUACCAACAGAAUAAGCACCGGCUAACUUCGUGCCAGCAGCCGCGGUAAUAC